CACGUUCACAGAAGCAACACUUUCAUCAGCUGAGGGGUGACGCAGAAGACAGAGGCAGGAUGUAACUUAUUAAUUCCGCUGUCACGUGUUUGUGUCCGCUCCCCCCCACUUGCUCACAGGGAAUUCAGCAGAGGACCUACUGCAGAAUCUCCAGAGGAUCUCAGGAGGUCUCAACUGUGAGCAGAUAUUUCAGCCUGAGACAUCAGCUCCACAGUACUGUCUGCAACUUCUGGCACAAGCAACAGUCAGCACCAUAAAAACAUUGGACUUUGGACAUCUCAACAUACCACGAAGAAAGCAGAAUCUGAUGACAGCAAUAAUAACAUUUUACGAGACUGAAGUAUGUAAGAAUGGAGCCAUUUGGGUUCAAGUUGUAAACCUAGUUGGUGAAUGACUGUAAAGGACUCACAGGUAAGCAGAUGGGGAAGACAUGGGAUCGACCUGCCGACCUUCUGGUUGGAGGACAGCUGCUCUACCCCUCAGCCACAGCCGCCACUACCCGUUGAGAUACCCACUCAACUGGGCUGACUGGUAUUCAUGGUGCAAUGUGGUACAUUUAACAAGUAGCAGAAUGGCUAAUUGCAAUGACCAAUACUUAUUUUAAGGUACAUAGGCUAUUUGUGUAUUGUACUGAGAAAAAUUAUAAUUCAUAGGCUGAGGCUUAGCGUGUCCGAUGAUGAUACUUUCAGCUCCAUGUGUUUGGUGUGCUCUGGCUCAGCUGUGGCUCAGGCUCAGCAACUUUUUCACAAACCUGUCACAUACAGUAGGUUGGUGGUUCAAUCCCGAGCUCCUCUGCAUGACAAAGUGUACUUGAGCAAGACAUUGAAGCCUAACAUCUGUUCUGUCAGAGUGAAUGAUGUGUGUUUAAAAAGGGGGAUUGUUAUGACAAAAAUAUAAUAUGAUGCAGUGAAUUUACAAGCUCCAAGUUACAGACGGCUCCCUAGUGUUCACUUAAAUACUGAAUUUGCUUAAAAAUAUGAAACCACAACACGCCGUGAACUGUCUGGAAAAUGUGGAUUGCACAUUCCUCUGGACCUUAGCCUGUAUGAGGAAUAUCUGCAGGGCAAUGCCCAGGCAUGCUGAAAUGUGCUCUGAGCCAUGGUUGGCAAAAUAAAUGUAACAGCAGUCA